UUUUUUUUUACGGGACGGGUUGGCGGGACGGGUUUGGCAGGACGUUACUUAAUAACAGUUGUAAACUAUAAAAUAAAAAUAUUUUAUAGAUAGAGAAAAUUUGUAAACUUUUAUAUAUACUAACUUUAAAAGAUAAAUUGUCCCCACGGUGUAUCACGGAUUAAAAUCUAGUAUCGUUGUAUAAAUGUAAAGGAUCCUUAACCACCACCAACGGGGAAGGGAGAACAACAGACAAAGCUGAUUUCGUAAGAGUGUUCGGCAUGAUUGAUUUUGCUGAAACUUAU
rnacentral:sRNA from 1 species